rnacentral:rRNA from 1 species
GACGAACGCUGGCGGCGUGCUUAACACAUGCAAGUCGAGCGGUAAGGCCCUUUCGGGGGUACACGAGCGGCGAACGGGUGAGUAACACGUGGGUGACCUGCCCUCAGCUCUGGGAUAAGCCUGGGAAACUGGGUCUAAUACUGGAUAUGACUCCACGGUGCAUGUCGUGGGGUGGGAAGCCUUGUGCGGCUGAGGAUGGGCCCGCGGCCUAUCAGCUUGUUGGUGGGGUGANGGCCUACCAAGGCGACGACGGGUAGCCGGCCUGAGAGGGCGACCGGCCACACUGGGACUGAGACACGGCCCAGACUCCUACGGGAGGCAGCAGUGGGGAAUCUUGCGCAAUGGGCGAAAGCCUGGCGCAGCGACGCCGCGUGAGGGAUGACGGCCUGGU